GCAUGCUGCUCAAUUCACAACAAAACGAGCUUUUAUCUACUUUUUUUCUCACCCUAAAAAUCAGGCUAAAGCUACAGUAGCCACCAAGCAUUCUUAUAACAGUCUCUUCCUUCUCUAACACAUGUCUACUUUGUUUUUCACCUUUGGUAUUUUUCAAAAAAGAAUAGGUCUUCUUCUUUCUUUCCUUCCCUUCGCUCAAUCUUUCUUUCGAGUCCUUUUCAGUUUGUUACGAUUCCAUUCUUUCAAAUGUACUAGUUCAUUCAGUCUUGAUCACUUACUCAAUAAGCACUCUAAAGUGAAAGUCUAUUCUAUCUGCUUGGCUAAGUCUUAUCCUCACUCAUUCUGCUUCGGAUUAGAUUAGGU
rnacentral:misc_RNA from 1 species